CUUACGUUCGCUCUCGCUUGGUCUCCUCAUCAGGACGCUGCUAGGUGAGCUUGAGUCCAAAGAUCCACAAAUUAAAGUUAUAAUCGAUCCUCUCCUGUCGUUCAAUGUUUCAGGGUGAGAAUCUUCUUGCUGUUUCAACCUGAAGGCGUCUACAAACUCCACUAGGUAGGCGGCAUGCACCUGCUGUUAUCACACCUUUUGGAGAGCCUGAAUACUUAAAACACUGAUCUGUUACGUAGUCAAGCUAUCCAUCAGAAACAAAUGGUGUCCCGACCCUGACUAACAUAUCAGAUCAUACUCCCAAGCAACAUUUUUCGUGCCAAACAGGAUGAUGUCGGUCCACAAUGGAUCGUCAGGGCAUCUUUUACCAGGGCUUCCUAUUACUAUUAUAGUAUUACACUGACCUCGGCCAUUUACGGAAAUUGUGUGCUUCACUACAACAGUUCUUUUCAAUACUCCAUCAACAAGGCCGACAUCGGAUGCACCCAUCCUAAGCUUAUUUAUAUCUUGUAAUGGGGAUGAGCCCAAUAAUGGCCAUGCUAUGAACCAUCACUUGGGCUGUAUGCUGCAUAUCGCUUCAUGCGCUCGAAAAAAACACUCCAAUUUCUCCUCUCCUUGAAAAGAUAAAAUAUUUUGCCUCAGUGUUUCAUGUCUUGUCGUUGUUGCUGUAGCGACAUUGAUUUUUUGGACCGCCCGCUCUUGCCUGAUCAUUGUUAUUAUUAUUCAACCCUUCUAACAUUUGUCUGUUGGGUUGCUGUUCUCCGUUAAUCUGCCAUUAAGCUACUGAUGGGAGUUCAGAGUAAAGCGUGGAGUAAGAAAAGACGAAAAAAGUAGAGGAAGAAGAGAUGGCAUGCCUACCGGAAAGGCUUUGAUAUCACUGAGGAGAUUUACGCUUGCAGUCUUCUUAAGCUUCCCCGGUAAUAGUAGUAGAUAUUAUGUAACGCACCUAGAACCCCU
rnacentral:sRNA from 1 species